rnacentral:rRNA from 1 species
UACGUAGGGAGCGAGCGUUGUCCGGAAUCAUUGGGCGUAAAGAGCAUGUAGGUGGAUCAAUAAGUCUGCUGUGAAAGUCGAAGGCUCAACCUUCGAAAGCCGGUGGAUACUGUUGAUCUAGAGUACGGAAGAGGCGAGUGGAAUUCCUGGUGUAGCGGUGGAAUGCGCAGAUAUCAGGAGGAACACCAAUAGCGAAGGCAGCUCGCUGGGACGUAACUGACACUGAGACGCGAAAGCGUGGGGAGCGAACAGG